rnacentral:rRNA from 1 species
CAGCAGCCGCGGUAAUACGUAGGUGGCAAGCGUUGUCCGGAAUUAUUGGGCGUAAAGGGCUCGCAGGCGGUUUCUUAAGUCUGAUGUGAAAGCCCCCGGCUCAACCGGGGAGGGUCAUUGGAAACUGGGAAACUUGAGUGCAGAAGAGGAGAGUGGAAUUCCACGUGUAGCGGUGAAAUGCGUAGAGAUGUAGAGGAACACCAGUGGCGAAGGCGACUCUCUGGUCUGUAACUGACGCUGAGGAGCGAAAGCGUGGGGAGCGAACAGGAUUAGAUACCCGUGUAGUCCCUGUCUCUUAUAC